rnacentral:rRNA from 1 species
GGGCAAGACCGGUGCCACCCGCCGCGGUAACACCGGCCUCUCAUGUGGUACCCGCUUUUAUUGGGCCUAAAGCGUCCGUAGCCGGUCUGAUAAGUCUCUGGUGAAAUCCCACAGCUUAACUGUGGGAAUUGCUGGAGAUACUAUCAUGACUCGAGGUCGGGAGAGGCUGGAGGUACUCCCAGGGUAGGGGUGAAAUCCUGUAAUCCUGGGAGGACCACCUGUGGCGAAGGCGUCCAGCUGGAACGAACCUGACGGUGAGGGACGAAAGCCAGGGGCGCGAACCGGAUUAGAUACCCGGGUAGUCCUGGCCGUAAACGAUGUGGACUUGGUGUUGGGAUGGCUUCGAGCUGCCCCAGUGCCGAAGGGAAGCUGUUAAGUCCACCGCCUGGGAAGUACGGCCGCAAGGCUGAAACUUAAAGGAAUUGGCGGGGGAGCACCACAACGCGUGGAGCC